GUGAGGAAUCUUGCGCAAUGGGGGAAACCUUGACGCAGCAACGCCGCGUGAGUGAUGAAGGCCUUCGGGUCGUAAAGCUCUGUCAGAUGGGAAGAAAGUUUCAACGGUGAAUAAUCGUUGGGAUUGACGGUACCGUCGAAGGAAGCACCGGCUAACUCCGUGCCAGCAGCCGCGGUAAUACGGAGGGUGCAAGCGUUGUUCGGAAUUAUUGGGCGUAAAGAGCGUGUAGGCGGCCUGGUAAGUCAGAUGUGAAAACCCUUGGCUUAACCAAGGAAGUGCAUUUGAAACUGUCGGGCUUGAGUACGGGAGGGGGAAGUGGAAUUCCCGGUGUAGAGGUGAAAUUCGUAGAUAUCGGGAGGAACACCGGUGGCGAAGGCGGCUUCCUGGACCGAUACUGACGCUGAGACGCGAAAGCGUGGGGAGCAAACAGGAUUAGAAACCCGGGUAGUCC
rnacentral:rRNA from 1 species